rnacentral:rRNA from 1 species
CAGUAGCCGCGGUAAUACGAAGGGGGCUAGCGUUGUUCGGAUUUACUGGGCGUAAAGCGCACGUAGGCGGACUUUUAAGUCAGGGGUGAAAUCCCGGGGCUCAACCCCGGAACUGCCUUUGAUACUGGAAGUCUUGAGUAUGGUAGAGGUGAGUGGAAUUCCGAGCGUAGAGGUGAAAUUCGUAGAUAUUCGGAGGAACACCAGUGGCGAAGGCGGCUCACUGGACCAUUACUGACGCUGAGGUGCGAAAGCGUGGGGAGCAAACAGGAUAGAUACCCCAGUAGUCCCUGUCUCUUAUACU